GAAUGAAGAACGUAGCGAAAUGCGAUAAGUAAUGCGAAUUGCAGAAUUUCCGUGAGUCAUCGAAUCUUUGAACGCACAUUGCGCCCACUGGUAUUCCGGUGGGCAUGCCUGUUCGAGCGUCAUUAUCUUCCCUCAAACCCCCCGGGUUUGGUGUUGGACCUCACGUUGUGUGAACAACUGGUCUCAAAGACAAUGACGGCGUCCGUAGGACCCUCGGUGCAACGAGCUUUUAGGAGCACGCGUCGAGUUUCAAGGACCUUACGGCCCGGUCUCUUUACCCCUUUUACAAGGUUGACCUCGGAUCAGGUAGGAAUACCCGCUGAACUUAAGCAUAUCAAUAAGCGGAGGA
rnacentral:misc_RNA from 1 species